GGCUCUUUGUAGUUACUUAAAUAGAGGGUCGGACCUGCCCGGUGACAAUAUUGUUAAACGGCCGCGGUACCCUAACCGUGCUAAGGUAGCAUAAUCAUUUGCCUUUUAAUUGGAGGCUGGUAUGAAUGGUUUGACGAGAGCUAAGCUGUCUCUUAAAAAUUAUUUAGAAUUUAAUUUUUAGGUGAAGAAGCCUAAAUUUAAUUGAGGGACAAGAAGACCCUGUUGAGCUUUAGUGAAACAGUAUAACGAGUAAGUUUUAUUAUAUAUAAGAUUUAUAUUUUUAUAGAUUAACUUUACUGUUAAUCUUUAGUUGGGGCGACUAAGGAACAAAUAAAGCUUCCUCUAGAAAUGGUAGAGUAUGUUGGCAGGCUUAGGUGAUCCAAUAUAAUUAUAUUGAUUUAAGGAAAAAGUUACCACAGGGAUAACAGCGUAAUCUUUCUGGAGAGAUCUUAUCGAAAGAAGGGUUUGCGACCUCGAUGUUGGACUAAGAUAUCCUGAGGGUGUAGAAGCUCUCGAUGGUUGGUCUGUUCGACCAUUAAAAUCUU
rnacentral:rRNA from 1 species